UCCACAAUGCAUUCUUCUUAUUGAACCCAAUUGCAAAUUCCUGUGCAAGCCCGAUUUCGUCGGUGAUUCUUCUACCCUUCACGAAGGUUGUCUGCGGAGGGUCAAUAAUGUUCAGCAGAACCUGAGAAAUGCAAUUUGCCAGAAUUUUUGCAAUUGAUUUAUACACCACUCCUAGACAAUAGAUGGGUUUGUAGUGUUCCAAGUCAAAAUCGAUUAUAAAAAUCUAUAAAAAUAAAUAUUAAAUACAUUUAUUAAUUAAUAUUCAAAAUAUAAAUAAAUUACACUAUUUAUUUUAGUAUUUCUGUUUUUGUUGAAAAAUGAGUAAAAUUACAAACAUAAAAUAAAGUUAAAUUUUUUGGACUUAAUAUAUACUAUUAGAUUCAAUUGAGAAACAAAUCAUUUGUAAAACUAAAAGACCGAAAGCCUCUAUGUUAAAAAAAACAUAUUUACAGAUUAAUUUUUUUUUACUAUUUGAGACUGACUUUUACUUUUAUAACAAACUAAUAUGCAAGGUUAUGAUCUCAGACUUCUUCACUAACCUGAUGGAUCGCCUUUUUACAUAAUCGCAAUCUGAUAACGAUGGUCUGAAGAUCCUAUCUUGAAAUCGUUCCUCAACUCCUCAACCUCAAGUCCUCAAUCGAUAUGAUUUGGAGGAGAUUUAGGGAUUUAGAAUAUAGGAAAUUUAGGGAUAUAAGAUAUAAGGGAUUUAAGAGAUUUAGCAAUUUAUGUGUUAAUUUUUAUUCGAUAAUAUAUGAAAAAAUAUUUUAUAAUUAGAAUAAUUUUCAAAUGAGUCAG
rnacentral:lncRNA from 1 species